rnacentral:ribozyme from 1 species
AUCCUUGCAUAUGCAUCAAUGAUUGUCAUACGAGCCUAACUCGCUUAUCUUACAAAGUGAAGUAUUCUUCCUACACCUUAUUUUAUUUCAGUCGUCAGUUGAAACAUCAACUUAUACACACUAUUUUCAUAAAAUCAUCCAUUGGA